rnacentral:rRNA from 1 species
UUAAGUUAUUAAGGGCGCACGGUGGAUGCCUUGGCACUAGAAGCCGAUGAAGGACGUUACUAACGACGAUAUGCUUUGGGGAGCUGUAAGUAAGCUUUGAUCCAGAGAUUUCCGAAUGGGGAAACCCAGCAUGAGUUAUGUCAUGUUAUCGAUAUGUGAAUACAUAGCAUAUCAGAAGGCACACCCGGAGAACUGAAACAUCUUAGUACCCGGAGGAAGAGAAAGAAAAUUCGAUUCCCUUAGUAGCGGCGAGCGAAACGGGAAGAGCCCAAACCAACAAGCUUGCUUGUUGGGGUUGUAGGACACUCUAUACGGAGUUACAAAGGACGACAUUAGACGAAUCAUCUGGAAAGAUGAAUCAAAGAAGGUAAUAAUCCUGUAGUCGAAAAUGUUGUCUCUCUUGAGUGGAUCCUGAGUACGACGGAGCACGUGAAAUUCCGUCGGAAUCUGGGAGGACCAUCUCCUAAGGCUAAAUACUCUCUAGUGACCGAUAGUGAACCAGUACCGUGAGGGAAAGGUGAAAAGCACCCCGGAAGGGGAGUGAAAUAGAACCUGAAACCGUGUGCUUACAAGUAGUCAGAGCCCGUUAAUGGGUGAUGGCGUGCCUUUUGUAGAAUGAACCGGCGAGUUACGAUUUGAUGCAAGGUUAAGCAGUAAAUGUGGAGCCGUAGCGAAAGCGAGUCUGAAUAGGGCGUUUAGUAUUUGGUCGUAGACCCGAAACCAGGUGAUCUACCCUUGGUCAGGUUGAAGUUCAGGUAACACUGAAUGGAGGACCGAACCGACUUACGUUGAAAAGUGAGCGGAUGAACUGAGGGUAGCGGAGAAAUUCCAAUCGAACCUGGAGAUAGCUGGUUCUCUCCGAAAUAGCUUUAGGGCUAGCCUCAAGUGAUGAUUAUUGGAGGUAGAGCACUGUUUGGACGAGGGGCCCCUCUCGGGUUACCGAAUUCAGACAAAACUCCGAAUGCCAAUUAAUUAACUUGGGAGUCAGAACAUGGGUGAUAAGGUCCGUGUUCGAAAGGGAAACAGCCCAGACCACCAGCUAAGGUCCCAAAAUAUAUGUUAAGUGGAAAAGGAUGUGGCGUUGCCCAGACAACUAGGAUGUUGGCUUAGAAGCAGCCAUCAUUUAAAGAGUGCGUAAUAGCUCACUAGUCGAGUGACACUGCGCCGAAAAUGUACCGGGGCUAAACAUAUUACCGAAGCUGUGGAUUGUCCUUUGGACAAUGGUAGGAGAGCGUUCUAAGGGCGUUGAAGCAUGAUCGUAAGGACAUGUGGAGCGCUUAGAAGUGAGAAUGCCGGUGUGAGUAGCGAAAGACGGGUGAGAAUCCCGUCCACCGAUUGACUAAGGUUUCCAGAGGAAGGCUCGUCCGCUCUGGGUUAGUCGGGUCCUAAGCUGAGGCCGACAGGCGUAGGCGAUGGAUAACAGGUUGAUAUUCCUGUACCACCUAUAAUCGUUUUAAUCGAUGGGGGGACGCAGUAGGAUAGGCGAAGCGUGCGAUUGGAUUGCACGUCUAAGCAGUAAGGCUGAGUAUUAGGCAAAUCCGGUACUCGUUAAGGCUGAGCUGUGAUGGGGAGAAGACAUUGAGUCUUCGAGUCGUUGAUUUCACACUGCCGAGAAAAGCCUCUAGAUAGAAAAUAGGUGCCCGUACCGCAAACCGACACAGGUAGUCAAGAUGAGAAUUCUAAGGUGAGCGAGCGAACUCUCGUUAAGGAACUCGGCAAAAUGACCCCGUAACUUCGGGAGAAGGGGUGCUCUUUAGGGUUAACGCCCAGAAGAGCCGCAGUGAAUAGGCCCAAGCGACUGUUUAUCAAAAACACAGGUCUCUGCUAAACCGUAAGGUGAUGUAUAGGGGCUGACGCCUGCCCGGUGCUGGAAGGUUAAGAGGAGUGGUUAGCUUCUGCGAAGCUACGAAUCGAAGCCCCAGUAAACGGCGGCCGUAACUAUAACGGUCCUAAGGUAGCGAAAUUCCUUGUCGGGUAAGUUCCGACCCGCACGAAAGGCGUAACGAUUUGGGCACUGUCUCAACGAGAGACUCGGUGAAAUCAUAGUACCUGUGAAGAUGCAGGUUACCCGCGACAGGACGGAAAGACCCCGUGGAGCUUUACUGUAGCCUGAUAUUGAAAUUCGGCACAGCUUGUACAGGAUAGGUAGGAGCCUUUGAAACGUGAGCGCUAGCUUACGUGGAGGCGCUGGUGGGAUACUACCCUAGCUGUGUUGGCUUUCUAACCCGCACCACUUAUCGUGGUGGGAGACAGUGUCAGGCGGGCAGUUUGACUGGGGCGGUCGCCUCCUAAAAGGUAACGGAGGCGCUCAAAGGUUCCCUCAGAAUGGUUGGAAAUCAUUCAUAGAGUGUAAAGGCAUAAGGGAGCUUGACUGCGAGACCUACAAGUCGAGCAGGGUCGAAAGACGGACUUAGUGAUCCGGUGGUUCCGCAUGGAAGGGCCAUCGCUCAACGGAUAAAAGCUACCCCGGGGAUAACAGGCUUAUCUCCCCCAAGAGUUCACAUCGACGGGGAGGUUUGGCACCUCGAUGUCGGCUCAUCGCAUCCUGGGGCUGUAGUCGGUCCCAAGGGUUGGGCUGUUCGCCCAUUAAAGCGGUACGCGAGCUGGGUUCAGAACGUCGUGAGACAGUUCGGUCCCUAUCCGUCGUGGGCGUAGGAAAUUUGAGAGGAGCUGUCCUUAGUACGAGAGGACCGGGAUGGACAUACCUCUGGUGUACCAGUUGUCGUGCCAACGGCAUAGCUGGGUAGCUAUGUGUGGACGGGAUAAGUGCUGAAAGCAUCUAAGCAUGAAGCCCCCCUCAAGAUGAGAUUUCCCAACUUCGGUUAUAAGAUCCCUCAAAGAUGAUGAGGUUAAUAGGUUCGAGGUGGAAGCAUGGUGACAUGUGGAGCUGACGAAUACUAAUCGAUCGAAGACUUA